GAUGAACGCUGACAGAAUGCUUAACACAUGCAAGUCGAUUCGAUUUACCUUCGGGUAUUGAGGAUGGCGGACGGGUGAGUAACGCGUAAGGAACUUGCCUCUUGGUCUGGGACAACUGUUGGAAACGACAGCUAAUACCGGAUAUUAUGAGAUUCUCGCAUGGGAAACUUAUGAAAGCUAUAUGCGCCAAGAGAGAGCCUUGCGUUCCAUUAGCUAGUUGGUGGGGUAACGGCCCACCAAGGCGACGAUGGAUAGCCGGCCUGAGAGGGUGAACGGCCACAAGGGGACUGAGACACGGCCCUUACUCCUACGGGAGGCAGCAGUGGGGAAUAUUGGACAAUGGGCCACAAGCCUGAUCCAGCAAUUCUGUGUGCACGAUGAAGGUCUUCGGAUUGUAAAGUGCUUUCAGUUGGGAAGAAGAAAGUGACGGUACCAACAGAAGAAGCGACGGCUAAAUACGUGCCANCNGCCGCGGUAAUACGUAUGUCGCAAGCGUUAUCCGGAUUUAUUGGGGCGUAAAGCGCGUCUAGGCGGAAAAAUAAGUCUGANGUUAAAAUGCNGGGCUCAACUCCGUAUUGCGUUGGAAACUGUUUUUCUAGAGUACUGGAGAGGUGGGCGGAACUACAAGUGUAGAGGUNAAAUUCGUAGAUAUUUGUAGGAAUGCCGAUGG
rnacentral:rRNA from 1 species